AGAGUUAAAGAAAGAAAAACAUUUUAAUUAACAAUAUACUUAAACUCGUAAACUCGGGUUUCUAAAGACUUAUUCAAGAUAUUGUACAACGCGCUUCUCCGUUUCAAUUUUAUUCCAUCGGAAUUAAAUAUUUGGAAAUACUUUAGAACUCUUUAGAAACCGGUCGAUAUUGUACUGCGUGUAACUUAAUAUACUUUUGUUUAAUCAAAGUGUCACGUUUCUGUACCAUAUAGUCUAGUCAUAUAUAUAUAUAAGAAUCGAGACAUGGUUUUAUCUAACGACUUGUGGGUAAAUUCGGAAUAAAAAAUUUAGAAAAUUGUUUAGUUCAAAAUAUACAGUUUAAAGCGUGAUUUUAGAUUUUUAGUAUAAGGAAGAAUUUAACUAUAUAAUCUUUACUCAGACGUAUUUAUUUUCUCAAAGAACAAUUUUGUGGUAAGUAAAAAUGAUACAAAUGUUUCAAUAUCGUUUACUCCUUAAAAGAUGCAUAUUUUUAGCUAGCUUGGUGGUUUUCUAGAUCCCUAACUGUUUU